UAGGGAAUCUUCCACAAUGGGGGCAACCCUGAUCCAGCAAUGCCGCGUGUGUGAAGAAGGUCUUCGGAUUGUAAAGCACUUUCGACGGGGACGAUGAUGACGGUACCCGUAGAAGAAGCCCCGGCUAACUUCGUGCCAGCAGCCGCGGUAAUACGAAGGGGGCUAGCGUUGCUCGGAAUGACUGGGCGUAAAGGGCGUGUAGGCGGUUUACACAGUCAGAUGUGAAAUCCCCGGGCUUAACCUGGGAGCUGCAUUUGAUACGUGUAGACUAGAGUGUGAGAGAGGGUUGUGGAAUUCCCAGUGUAGAGGUGAAAUUCGUAGAUAUUGGGAAGAACACCGGUGGCGAAGGCGGCAACCUGGCUCAUGACUGACGCUGAGGCGCGAAAGCGUGGGGAGCAAACAGGAUUAGAUACCCUGGUAGUCCACGCUGUAAACGAUGUG
rnacentral:rRNA from 1 species